UACGGAAGGCAGCAGUGGGGAAUAUUGCACAAUGGGCGAAAGCCUGAUGCAGCUAUGCCGCGUGUAUGAAGAAGGCCUUAGGGUUGUAAAGUACUUUCAUCGGGGAGGAAAAAACAAAACUAAUAAUUUUAUUUCUUGACGUUACCCGAAAAAGAAGCACCGGCUAACUCCGUGCCAGCAGCCGCGGUAAUACGGAGGGUGCUAGCGUUAAUCAGAAUUACUGGGCGUAAAGAGCACGUAGGUGGUUUUUUUAAGUCAGAUGUGAAAUCCCUGGGCUUUAACCUAGGAACUGCAUUUUGAAACUGAAAUACUAGAGUAUCGUAGAGGGAGGUAGAAUUCUAGGUGUAGCGGUGAAAUGCGUAGAUAUCUGGAGGAAUACCUGUGGCGAAAGCGGCCUCCUAAACGAAUACUGACACUGAGGGUGCGAAAGCGUGGGGAGCAAACGAGGGAUUAGAUACC
rnacentral:rRNA from 1 species